GAUGAACGCUGGCGGCGUGCCUAAUACAUGCAAGUCGAGCGAACAGAUGAGGAGCUUGCUCCUCUGACGUUAGCGGCGGACGGGUGAGUAACACGUGGAUAACCUACCUAUAAGACUGGGAUAACUUCGGGAAACCGGAGCUAAUACCGGAUAAUAUAUUGAACCGCAUGGUUCAAUAGUGAAAGACGGUUUUGCUGUCUCUUCUAGAUGGAUCCGCGCCGCAUUAGCUAGUUGGUAAGGUAACGGCUUACCAAGGCAACGAUGCGUAGCCGACCUGAGAGGGGGAUCGGCCACACUGGAACGGAGACACGGUCCAGACGCCUACGGGAGGCAGCAGUAGGGAAUCUGCCGCAAUGGGCGAAAGCCUGACGGAGCAACGCCGCGUGAGUGAUGAAGGUCUUCGGAUCGUAAAACUCUGUUAUUAGGGAAGAACAAAUGUGUAAGUAACUAUGCACGUCUUGACGGUACCUAAUCAGAAAGCCACGGCUAACUACGUG
rnacentral:rRNA from 1 species